rnacentral:misc_RNA from 1 species
UAGAAAUCAGGACAUGGUGAUAUGUUUAUUUGUUUGGCAAAAGAUCUUGUAUAUAUUUGUUGGCAAAGGAUGCUGAAAACUGAAGAAAAGAAUGUUUGGCAGGAGAGGUUACAGCUCAGUUUGUGCAUCUUCAAGUUAAAAGUUGUUGAUCAUUAGUCAACUGUAUAUCAGCAGGUCAUUGGCAUUCAAGGAAGCAUAGUAUGUAAUAUUCACAAGGGAACAUUGUAUUAAUUUAUUCAUCCAAUUGCAACAUUUA